GCGGCCUUGGUGGAAUGGCAGACACAAUGGCCUUAGGAGCCAUCGGGGGAGACCCCGUGAGGGUUCGAAUCCCUCAGGCCGCA
rnacentral:tRNA from 1 species